GAUGAACGCUGGCGGCGUGCCUAAUACAUGCAAGUCGAGCGAAGCGGGGACGGGUGAGUAACACGUGGAUAACCUCCUAUAAGACUGGGAUAACUUCGCGAAACCGGAGCUAAACCGGAUACUUACAGAUGGAUCCGCGCUGCAUUAGCUAGUUGGUAAGGUGACGGCUUACCAAGGGAACGAUGCAUAGCGGACCUGUGAGGGUGAGCGGCCAGACUGAAACUGAAGCACGGUCCAGACUCCUACGGGAGGCAGCAGUAGGGAAUCUUCCGCAAUGGGCGAAAGCCUGACGGAGCAACGCCGCAUGAGUGAUGAAGGUCUUCGGAUCGUAAAACACUGUUAUUAGGGAAGCGGUAACUAAGCAGAAAGCCACGGCUAACUACGUGCCAGCAGCCGCGGUAAUAC
rnacentral:rRNA from 1 species